GACGAACGCUGGCGGCGUGCUUAACACAUGCAAGUCGAACGGUAAGGCCCUUCGGGGUACACGAGUGGCGAACGGGUGAGUAACACGUGGGUGAUCUGCCCUGCACUUCGGGAUAAGCCUGGGAAACUGGGUCUAAUACCGGAUAGGACCACUGCCUGCAUGGGUGGUGGUGGAAAGCUUUUGCGGUGUGGGAUGGGCCCGCGGCCUAUCAGCUUGUUGGUGGGGUGAUGGCCUACCAAGGCGACGACGGGUAGCGGGCCGGAGAGGUGGACCGGCGACACGGGGACUGAGAUACGGCCCAGGCUCCGACGUGAGGCAGCAGUGGGGAAUAUUGCACAGUGGGCGCAAGCCUGAUGCAGCGACGCCGCGUGAGGGAUGACGGCCUUCGGGUUGUAAACCUCUUUCAGCACCGACGAAGCGCAAGUGACGGUAGGUGCAGAAGAAGGACCGGCCAACUACGUGCCAGCAGCCGCAGUAA
rnacentral:rRNA from 1 species